GGGUGGCUAAUACCGCAUAAAUUCUGAGGAAGAAAGCUGGGGACCUAGGAAUAGGCCUAGCGCUUUUUGAGCGGCCGAUGUCGGAUUAGCUAGUUGGUGAGGUAAAGGCUCACCAAGGCGAAGAUCUGUAGCGGGUCUGAGAGGAUGAUCCGCCACACUGGGACUGAGACACGGCCCAG
rnacentral:rRNA from 1 species